ensembl:lncRNA
CUGUGGAGCUUCGCAUUUCAGAAUCUUCGGUCGCCAUUUUUUCUUGCUGCUGCGGUGGUGAUAUGCUGGUUCCUGAGAAGAGAUGAAGAAAUCAAAGUCAGCUUUUCAAGACAGCCCCAAGACUCUUCGCAACUUGUGUUCAAAUGUGAGGCUGUUGUCAGGUGAUGAAUGCAAGGAAGAGGCACUCAACUGACAUGAAACAUGUCAAAGACAACAUGAAGGUGACAUUUCAACAUAGGCAAAAAGUGGUUCAAGAACCUGCCACAGCUUCUACUGUCCUGGACCUUAUCCCAAGAUUUCUGGAUACACCUGGCUUGAUUGACCAAGACUUCACAAUGCUGUUUGUUGGGGAGGAAGUGUCUGCUAAGUUCCUUGCAAAGUGGCCAGCCAAGCCAAGGAUCAUCAAAGAUUGCAAAAAUCUGUCUCAGAGUACAGAAUUGGAUGAGCUGCUCAUUUCUGCACAGCGUUACUCUGACGAGGGUGAUGAGACGCAAAAGCAAAAUUUCCCCGCCUGGGCUGCCUUGCGUCUGUUUCAAUAUGUGACCCCGCCCCUCCCUCGGACAGUCGGGGAUGAGUGCACUAACAUACCUGUAGGUUGCUGUUUUAAUGAGUGUUUGAUGGAAAACAACAAUGGCGGAGUUUGCGUUCUCCAGUCGCAUGAUAGUUUGGGACUGCGAGGCGGCUGCCAGCUUUUGCUGCUUCACUUGUUACCUCCAACAUCUAAGGGAGGGAAGUCUUCAAAGAUUAGCACAUCAGAUGCUGCUCACCACCUAACGAAAUUCAUCAAGGUGGGAGGUAGCACGGAGGCUUUUCUUAAGGCUGGCCCCUCAGCCAUUCGUCCUGUGUGUUGGAGAAAGAAAGAACAUCGUCCAGAGUUUCUACAUUGUCCUAGAUCAAAAGGUCAUUCCCUGUGUGACACAGAUGGGAGUUGCAGGUUUUGACAAGGCAAAACAUCUCAAGGCACAUUUAUUUGCCGUGUCCUUUGACAAGGCAUUGGACAACUUCUACACAUUCAUCCAGACCACCGUGUAUGGCAUUGUUGUUGGCAGCGUGAAGGAGAAUCCUCGGGUCAGGGAAACAAGAGGAAGUCUUCAUUGUACAGUUUAAAGAUAUCCACUAUUCAGCACUUUGACUGGAAAUGUUCAUCUGUUACAUUUGCAAGAUACACCACACAAGUUGCUCAGUGUUAUUUAGACAUUUGAAGUUCCAGCAUGGUUUGUACCCAGGAAGGUUUUUACGUUUGACCUGUGGAGAGCCUGGAUGUUCAUUUAUCUUUCGCACGUAUUCUGGUUACAAGCGGCACUUAUUCCGAGCACAUGGAGACUGUCUUCACUCUGAGGUCAUCAAUAAUUUUGAGCCUGUACCUAACGAUGGAACCUCUGUUUCACAGCCUGUAAAUGUGGCUCAUCCCAUGACAAUUACUACACAGGUUCCAGUUGAAAAAAGGCAAAUACUGAACAUGUGCAGCUCUGUUAUUGCUCAGGUACAAUCAUCAGGAGUUCCUGAAAGUACUGUGCAGUGUUUAGUUGGUUCAUUGGAGGAACUCGUUAAUGACAUCCAUGCACAUGCAAAACAAUCUGUUGUUGACUGUUUGUCAACUGAUAUAUCAAGAGAAACCUUAAAAAAAGUUGAGGAUUGCUUUGAUCAGCUUGAAAAUCCAUUUUCAUGUCUUAACACAGAAUCAAAGGCUACGUUCACACUGCAGGUCUUAAUGCUCAAUUCCGAUUUUUUGAUCAAAUCCGAUUUUUUUGUCUGCUUGUUCACACUACACAUAAAAUGCGACAGCAAACAUGUUGCAGUGUGAACGGUUCACGGCCCUCAAAGUGACCCACAUGCGCAAAAGAAGCACAACACGCUCUGUUUACGGAAGUAAAAAUGGCGGCUACAGAGCAAGUAGGUGUUGUUGCAGCAGUUUGUCAAUUUAUGCAAAGUCGUAACCAACAGAAUCUUGACAAAUUAAUCAGAGAAAGGAGGACGCUGAGAAAAAAGAGAGUCCGUGCUUUAUCAAUGGCCUUGUUUGGAGCAGUGGCUGCUACCUCCGUGCAGAGGUAUAUAUGGACACGGAGUUGGAACCAGGAGUGGUGGGAUUGGGAUGUGAGAGGCUUCACUGACACGGAGUUCAUCCACAAUUUCAGGAUGUCAAGACAAACAUUUGAAUAUCUCGUCUGUGAAGGUUCUCAGUCAUCCAGGUCAUCGUAGUCAAAGGAGUUUGCAAAGAAAAGCGUCUGGACUUCUUUAAGUUGAUUGAAGACGUUUCACCUCUCAUCCAAG